GAUGAACGCUGGCGGCGUGCCUAAUACAUGCAAGUCGAGCGAACGGACGAGAAGCUUGCUUCUCUGAUGUUAGCGGCGGACGGGUGAGUAACACGUGGAUAACCUACCUAUAAGACUGGGAUAACUUCGGGAAACCGGAGCUAAUACCGGAUAAUAUUUUGAACCGCAUGGUUCAAAAGUGAAAGACGGUCUUGCUGUCACUUAUAGAUGGAUCUGCGCUGCAUUAGCUAGUUGGUAAGGUAACGGCUUACCAAGGCAACGAUGCAUAGCCGACCUGAGAGGGUGAUCGGCCACACUGGAACUGAGACACGGUCCAGACUCCUACGGGAGGCAGCAGUAGGGAAUCUUCCGCAAUGGGCGAAAGCCUGACGGAGCAACGCCGCGUGAGUGAUGAAGGUCUUCGGAUCGUAAAACUCUGUUACUAGGGAAGAACAUAUGUGUAAGUAACUGUGCACAUCUUGACGGUACCUAAUCAGAAAGCCACGGCUAACUACGUG
rnacentral:rRNA from 1 species